ACUCAAAUGAAUAGACGGGGGCCCGCACAAGCGGUGGAGCAUGGGGAUUAAUUCGUCACUAACCGAAGAACCUUACCAGGGUUUGACAUCCGCGGUAAGUCCGUGAAAGCGGCACCCUCCGGAGCAAUCCGGACCGCGAGACAGGUGUUGCAUGGCUGUCGUCAGCUCGUGUCGUGAGAUGUUGGGUUAAGUCCCGCAACGAGCGCAACCCUCACGUGAUGUUGCCAGCGUAAAGUCGGGCACUCUUCACGAACUGCCCGGGUAACCGGGAGGAAGGUGGGGAUGACGUCAAGUCGGCAUGGCCCUUACAUCCUGGGCUUCACCCAUGCUACAAUGGGCGCGACAGAGGGAAGCAAGGCCGCGAGGCGGAGCCAAUCCCAAAAAGGCGCUCUCAGUUCGGAUUGCAGGCUGCAACUCGCCUGCAUGAAGUCGGAAUCGCUAGUAACCGCCGGUCAGCUAAACGGCGGUGAAUACGUUCCCGGGCCUUGUACACACCGCCCGU
rnacentral:rRNA from 1 species